rnacentral:lncRNA from 1 species
CUCCAUUUAUUCCGUCUGUGGAAAUGGCCUGUGUGAGGGGACUGAGAGCUACUCCCUGUACCCAGCUCCCUGGGGAACAUCUACUUUCUGGCCAUUGGCAUCUGGAUCUGUAGCUAUUUCUAGAUUUCAAAUGGAUUCUUUGGUCGACCUUAAACAUGUAGGUUAAAUCCAUGGUUCUCAGCCAUGCUAUUAAGAUGCACUGGUGUGGGGCAAUGAGUUGUGAGGUGCCAGUAAUUAAUAAUAGUUAAAGUAAUCUGGAUUGGUGCACCUGGGAAUUUCAGAAUUGACAGCUGGGACUUCUUUGCCUCUACCAGAGCCUCAGUGAAGGGAAUGGGGCAUGCAGUGCAUUCUAUUUGUAGCCAAAUGGCCUCAAUCUUAUCUCUGCCCCAAGCAGUAAACUCCAGUGA